rnacentral:rRNA from 1 species
UACGUAGGCAGCGAGCGUUGUUCGGAGUUACUGGGCGUAAAGGGUGCGUAGGCGGCCCGGUAAGUCCGCUGUAAAAGUCCAGGGCUCAACCCUGGAACGCCGGUGGAUACUGUCGGGCUAGAGUCCGGAAGAGGCGAGUGGAAUUCCUGGUGUAGCGGUGGAAUGCGCAGAUAUCAGGAGGAACACCGAUGGCGAAGGCAGCUCGCUGGGACGGUACUGACGCUGAGGCGACGAAAGCGUGGGGAGCGAACAGG